rnacentral:rRNA from 1 species
GAUCAUGGCUCAGAACGUACGCUGGCGGCACGCCUAACACAUGCAAGUCGAACGCAGUAGCAAUACUGAGUGGCGAACGGGUGAGUAACACGUGAGCAAUCUGCCCUUGACUCUGGGAUAACGCCGAGAAAUUGGUGCUAAUACCGGAUAUGACCCCUGGCGGCAUCGCUGGGGGUGGAAAGUUUUUCGGUCAAGGAUGAGCUCGCGGCCUAUCAGCUUGUUGGUGAGGUAAUGGCUCACCAAGGCGACGACGGGUAGCCGGCCUGAGAGGGCGACCGGCCACACUGGGACUGAGACACGGACCAGACUCCUACGGGAGGCAGCAGUGAGGAAUAUUGGUCAAUGGGCGCAAGCCUGAACCAGCCAUGCCGCGUGCAGGAAGAAUGCCCUAUGGGUUGUAAACUGCUUUUAUUUAGGAAUAAACCUUACUACGUGUAGUAAGCUGAAGGUACUGAAUGAAUAAGCACCGGCUAACUCCGUG